UUGUCUUAACAGAAACGCAUGCAAGACCCUGUGUAAUGAGCACACAAAUAGUCAUCCUUUACUUACUAGCAUAAGACCCGGUUGGCUUUGUGAAGCAGCACACUACAAAAACUCAGAGGAUAAUGUGCUGUGUGAGAUGAUCAGAAAUGGAAAACCUGUGGAUUAAGAAUCCUUGCAUUUUUCCUGGUUAAUGUUUAUAUACAAUUACUUUGACAUCGGAUUUGGGAAAUGUAACAACAUACUGCUGAUCUUUCUGCUACGGAUGAAAGAAGAAGGUUUUGAAUGCAGAAAGACCGAGAAACCUUCGCCAUUCAUGUAAGAAAAAUAGACUGCACAGGAUCCCUUGAUCAGGAUGGUGGUAGAGGAAAUGAACUUCCGUCAGCACUGUAAUGAUCUCAGUAUGUUUUGAGCACUUUCCGUGCUGGCGGUCUCAUAUUAUCUCAUUAUAUCUUACAACAAUUCUGUAAGGGAGGUACUACUAUAAGCUCCAUCUGAUCGAUGAGAAAACUCAAAUUUUGAGAGGCUAAGGAUAGGAAGGAACACUGGGAGCGGGUAUCUGAAUUCAGGUGAGACAGUCUGACCCAGGGUCAUAUUCUCAGGUGCAGUGUUGCAUUUC